UACGUAGGGUGCGAGCGUUAAUCGGAAUUACUGGGCGUAAAGCGUGCGCAGGCGGUUUUGUAAGCCAGAUGUGAAAUCCCCGGGCUUAACCUGGGAACUGCAUUUGUGACUGCAUGGCUAGAGUACGGUAGAGGGGGAUGGAAUUCCGCGUGUAGCAGUGAAAUGCGUAGAUAUCAUUUGGAACGCCAACGGCGAAAGCAGGCAGCUGGGGAUGCACCGACGCUGAGACACGAAAGCCAGGGGAGCGAACGGG
rnacentral:rRNA from 1 species